rnacentral:rRNA from 1 species
AUUGAACGCUGGCGGCAUGCCUUACACAUGCAAGUCGAACGGUAACAGGUCUUCGGAUGCUGACGAGUGGCGAACGGGUGAGUAAUACAUCGGAACGUGCCCGAUCGUGGGGGAUAACGAAGCGAAAGCUUUGCUAAUACCGCAUAAGAUCUACGGAUGAAAGCAGGGGACCGGCAAGGCCUUGCGCGAACGGAGCGGCCGAUGGCAGAUUAGGUAGUUGGUGGGAUAAAAGCUUACCAAGCCGACGAUCUGUAGCUGGUCUGAGAGGACGACCAGCCACACUGGGACUGAGACACGGCCCAGACUCCUACGGGAGGCAGCAGUGGGGAAUUUUGGACAAUGGGCGAAAGCCUGAUCCAGCCAUGCCGCGUGCAGGAUGAAGGCCUUCGGUUGUAAACUAGCUUUGUCUAGGGAAGAAGUACUUCUGGGCUAAUACCCGGGAGGGAUGACGGUACCUGAAAAUAAGGACACCGGCUAACUACGUAGCCAGCAGCCGCGGUAAAACG